rnacentral:rRNA from 1 species
AUUGAACGCUGGCGGCAGGCCUAACACAUGCAAGUCGAACGAGUUGCGGACGGGUGAGUAAUGUAUGGGAAACUGCCUGAUGGAGGGGGCUAAAUACUGGAAAAGGUAGCUAAUACCGCAUACCAUCAGAAGUGCCCAGAUGGGAUUAGCUAGUUGGUGGGGUAACGGCUAACCAAGGGGACAAUCCCUAGCUGGUCUAAGAGGAUGACCAGCCACACUGGAACGGAGACACGGUCCAGACUCCGACGGGAGGCAGCAGUGGGGAAUAUUGCACAAUGGGCGCAAUCCGUAUGCAGCCAGGCCGCGUGUAUGAAGAAGGCCUUCGGGUUGUAAAGUACUUUCAGCGGGGAGGCGUUACCCGCAGAAGAAGCACCGGCUAACUCCGGGCCAGCAGCCGCGGUAAUUC